AUUGAACGCUGGCGGCAGGCCUAACACAUGCAAGUCGAGCGAGAGGCGGACGGGUGAGUAAUGUCUGGGAAUCUGCCCGAUGGAGGAGGAUAACUACUGGACACGGUAGCUAAUACCGCAUACCAUCGGAUGUGCCCAGAUGGGAUUAGCUAGUAGGUGGGGUAAAGGCUCACCAGGGCGACGAUCUCUCGCUGGUCUGAGAGGAUGACCAGCAACACUGGAACGGAGACACGGUCCAGACUCCUACGGGAGGCAGCAGUGGGGAAUAUUGCACAAUGGGCGCAAGCCUGAUGCAGCCAUGCCGCGUGUAUGAAGAAGGCCUUCGGGUUGUAAAGUACUUUCAGCGGGGAGGCGUUACUCGCAGAAGAAGCACCGGCUAACUCCGUGCCAGCAGCCGCGGUAAUAC
rnacentral:rRNA from 1 species